GAAACCUUCGACAAGAUCAGUCGAUGUGCUUACAAUCUUGCCAAAAUUGUUGAAUUCCAUUAUAUCAAGUGUUCAUAGCAAUUCAGUUUAAAAUGAAGCUCACAAAAAUCUAUUUACGAUAUUAUCCACCAGGCAUUGCGCUCAAUUACCGGAAACGGAAUGUUGAAGAAACCAAAAUGAUUGAUUUGUUCGAUUUAACACCAAGUUGCGACCUCCCAGCCCUAACAAAGAAAAUUUCUUUAACGGAACCGUUGAUAACACAGGAAGUGUUUCCCCAAGUAACGGAAAUCUUGGAAAAAUUGCAGAAAAAGCUCAAGGAACCAAUUAAAACCAAAUUCUAUCUCUUCAAAACGCUCCAAACGCACAUUCUUCCGCUGACGAACGUGGCCUUCGAUAAGUCCGGCAAAAAAUGCAUAACUGGAUCCUAUGAUCGGACAUGUCGGAUAUGGAACGUAGAAAGCGGAGAUGAAGAAAAUGUACUCAAAGGCCACGAAAAUGUUGUUUUUUCGGUUGCCUACAACUAUCCUAAAUGUGAUCGGAUUCUCACCGGAUCAUUCGAUAAAACGGCCAAAAUUUGGAACCCCACUUCGGGAAACUGUCUGAACACACUUUGGGGUCAUACGGCGGAAAUCGUUGCUGCUGAGUUCAACCCUAACCAGGGCGAACAGGUCGUAACCUGUAGCAUGGAUAAAACUGCUCGGGUUUUUCAUGCUGAAACUGGGCAAGAGAUUCAAUUCCUGGGAGAUCACAAGGCCGAAGUAAUUUCGGCUCGUUUCAAUAAAGACGGGAAUCUCCUGUUGACGGCUUCGUUCGAUGAAUCUGCAAUUAUCUGGGAUUUGCGGAUGAAAGAACACGCCAUAGUAAUUAAAGCCCACGAAGCGGAGUUGAGCAACGCCGUAUGGAAUUUCCAAUGCUCUCUUAUUGCCACAAGUUCUCUGGACAAAACCGCCAAAAUCUGGGACGUUCGGAAUCUUGAAAGCUGCCAAGCAGUAGCGAGUCACAAGGACGAAGUUCUAGAUGUCGCAUUCAACUGUACGGGAUCUAGACUAGCUACUGGAAGUGCUGAUUGCACAGCCAAGGUAUGGGACGUUACCGGAAACUUUGAACUUGUUACCAUAAUGGCGGGACACACCGAUGAAGUGUCUAAGGUUGCAUUCAGUCCUCCGGGAGGAUUAUUGCUCACGGCAUCAGCUGACAAGACGGCACGUAUCUGGAACUCCGUGACUGGCAUAUGCACCCAAACUUUGGCCGGGCACGAUGGUGAAGUGUUCUCCUGUUCGUUCAACUACUGUGGCGAUGCCAUCAUUACCGCUUCGAAGGACAACACUUGUAAGAUAUGGAGAUGAUACGACUGGUUCUCGGGACAAGCCUUUAAAAAAGAGAAACCCAAGAAGUAUAACGCCAUUUAUACUCCCAGAGAAGCAGAACAUUGGACAAAAUUUUUGCUUAGAAAGUUGUAAGCACUACGGGCACGGAACAAUCGGAAAGCUCAUCUACCGAGCCUGAUGUCGACGUAGUGCAAUUCAUUCAGCCUCUUUACGCCAAACCGGGAUUCACUGGGACCGGCAGUAAAUGCUAGAAAAAAUCCCACACAUUAAGCAUUUGGCCAUUUGAAAGAAAAAAUAUAUAGUUUCAGAAUAUUCUACUACGUCAGAAAUGCAUCAAAUUAACUGACUCGCCUCUGAAACGCUAACGUUGCCUAAACAAAUGGGGUUACUGUUCCGGUUCUUAUCACAUUGGUCCAAUGUUCAUC